rnacentral:rRNA from 1 species
CACAUGCAAGUCGAGCGGAUGAAGGGAGCUUGCUCCUGGAUUCAGCGGCGGACGGGUGAGUAAUGCCUAGGAAUCUGCCUGGUAGUGGGGGAUAACGUCCGGAAACGGGCGCUAAUACCGCAUACGUCCUGAGGGAGAAAGUGGGGGAUCUUCGGACCUCACGCUAUCAGAUGAGCCUAGGUCGGAUUAGCUAGUUGGUGGGGUAAAGGCCUACCAAGGCGACGAUCCGUAACUGGUCUGAGAGGAUGAUCAGUCACACUGGAACUGAGACACGGUCCAGACUCCUACGGGAGGCAGCAGUGGGGAAUAUUGGACAAUGGGCGAAAGCCUGAUCCAGCCAUGCCGCGUGUGUGAAGAAGGUCUUCGGAUUGUAAAGCACUUUAAGUUGGGAGGAAGGGCAGUAAGUUAAUACCUGCUGU